rnacentral:rRNA from 1 species
CGAACGCUGGCGGCGCGCCUAACACAUGCAAGUCGAACGAGCGAGAGAGAGCUUGCUUUCUCAAGCGAGUGGCGAACGGGUGAGUAACGCGUGAGGAACCUGCCUCAAAGAGGGGGACAACAGUUGGAAACGACUGCUAAUACCGCAUAAGCCCACAGCUCGGCAUCGAGCAGAGGGAAAAGGAGCAAUCCGCUUUGAGAUGGCCUCGCGUCCGAUUAGCUAGUUGGUGAGGUAAUGGCCCACCAAGGCGACGAUCGGUAGCCGGACUGAGAGGUUGAACGGCCACAUUGGGACUGAGACACGGCCCAGACUCCUACGGGAGGCAGCAGUGGGGAAUAUUGCACAAUGGGGGAAACCCUGAUGCAGCGACGCCGCGUGGAGGAAGAAGGUCUUCGGAUUGUAAACUCCUGUUGUUGAGGAAGAUAAUGACGGUACUCAACAAGGAAGUGACGGCUAACUACGUGCCAGCAGCCGCGGUAAAA